rnacentral:rRNA from 1 species
GACGAACGCUGGCGGCGUGCUUAACACAUGCAAGUCGAGCGGUAAGGCCCUUUCGGGGGUACACGAGCGGCGAACGGGUGAGUAACACGUGGGUGACCUGCCCUCAGCUCUGGGAUAAGCCUGGGAAACCGGGUCUAAUACCGGAUAUGACUCCAUGACGCAUGUUGUGGGGUGGAAAGCCUUGUGCGGCUGAGGAUGGGCCCGCGGCCUAUCAGCUUGUUGGUGGGGUGAUGGCCUACCAAGGCGACGACGGGUAGCCGGCCUGAGAGGGCGACCGGCCACACUGGGACUGAGACACGGCCCAGACUCCCACGGGAGGCAGCAGUGGGGAAUCUUGCGCAAUGGGCGAAAGCCUGACGCAGCGACGCCGCGUGAGGGAUGACGGCCU